UAGAUUGGGCUUGGUCGGCAGGAAAAAAGCGAUGCUCCUCCUUCGAGGCGAUACCGCAUCCUGCCAAACAAGUCCGAUCUACA
rnacentral:pre_miRNA from 1 species